UAGAUAUUACUGCCUUACAGUUAAGAAUAUUUUAGAAAUACAAAACUUGUUUUUAUCAAGUAAAUGGAUUGGUAGACCAGUGUAAUGAUUUAAGUGCAGCCAAAUAAAGCAACUAGUUAACGGAAACCGUAUUUCAAGUUCCCUUUUUCCCCACCCAGGAGCCUAACCCUCCUAAUGGCCAAAAUCAUUUAGCCUUCAUUUUCAAUUACCCGGCGUAACGAAGCGCCGAAAGCAUUUAUCAAAAUGCCAAACUAGAUAACUUAAUUAAAGCCCCAAAAUCAAUCUGCAUAUAUAUGGGGCCUGACAAAAUCAAAAUCUGUGGAGCACCAGCCCUCCGCCCACCGCCCAUUACCAUACCCAUCCACCCCGUAAACAAUGGAAAGCAGCAACAUCCGCUUAUCGCGAUAAAUCAAAGCCACGAGUGUUGUUAAUUUUCCAAGAAUAUUUUCGGUUAUACAAAGUUUUCGGGGAUAAAGGCGAAAAACGUGCGUGAAUGUGCGUGGUGGUAAUAAAAACAACUUGAAUUUAUGUUUUCACGGCGCGGAAAAAGAUGAUCUUCAGCCAGAAAGGGGAGUUGGAAACUUCUGCCCACUUUGGGGGCCAACAACAUGCCAGUCAUGUCAGCAGCAAAAGCGACUAAGGGGAAGUCUGCAGCACACUCAAGCAGAAAAUUAUCAACUCCGCGGAGAGAUCCGCAGAUGAAGAUAUGGGGAGUCAACUAAACUUCUGCUUGGCUAGACCAAAAGAUGUUCCUUGAAUGCCGCAAAGCAGGAGAGGCAGAAAAAAUGGCAGGGGAAAAAUGAGCUUGCCCCUGCCACCGCAGGCCAAAAUUAAAUUGUGCACAUUUCCGAGGAGCGGAAAUUGCCCAAGUUUGUCACUCGGAAUGAGUACAUACAGAAAUUCUGGGCUGUAUAUAAUGGAAUCAGCCAAAAGAGCGUUCGCCAUUCAGCUCGUUAAAUCUCUUUUAGAAUCGCAUACACCCUGAUCCGUGAAGUCAACAAAUUGUUAGAAACCCGCUAGCGGCCUGGGGCCUUUGGGCCUCUCAUCAUCAGAUCAAUGGGGCUGGAGCACACAUGGAUCCAUCGGCUCACACACACGGGGUGCCCUCAACAAAGGCGGCCAAAUGACAACCUCAGGUUCUAUUCUCUCCCUAUAUAUAGAAAUGUAUAAGUAUGUGACGGGGACGUUUGAAGGGUCUGGUGGGUUACUGUGGGGAUGCGCCGUUACUGCUGCUGCCCGGCGGCAAAGUACAAUA